GCAGCAGAUUGGUGGAGGUGGGGGGAGAUACAACAUGACUGCAAUGCAUGGAUGCCGCCGAUGUGUGCUGGGCGGGCGGGCGGUCGGUCAUCCUCAUGUCAUAUCACGAAGACUUCUAGUAGGAUUUGACAGCUGGUGAUCGAGAUGACUCCACCUUGAGUGGACUAUAUAGGCAGAGUUUUGGACAGUGGACAUAACGGACUUCGCAGCCAUAGAACAACAUGAGUCACUUCUCUUCUGCUUCUGCUACUACGUCAUCUUCUACUGCUGCUACUACUGUUACUGCUACUGAUACUGCUACUACUGUUACUGCUGCUGCUACUGAUACAGCUGCUUCUUCUUUGCUGAGAAAUCAACACUUUUGGACGUCCGCAGCUGAUCGCUGAC